UUGAAACUUAGCAUAUCAAUAAGCGGAGGAAAAGAAACUAACAGGAUUCCCCUAGUAACUGCGAGUGAAGCGGGAAAAGCUCAAAUUUAAAAUCUGGUGGCCUUUGGCCAUCCGAGUUGUAAUUUAGAGAAGCGUCUUCCGCGCUGGACCGUGCACAAGUCUCCUGGAAUGGAGCGUCGUAGAGGGUGAGAAUCCCGUCUUUGGCACGGACGCCCAGUGCUUCUGUGAUGCGCUCUCGAAGAGUCGAGUUGUUUGGGAAUGCAGCUCAAAAUGGGUGGUGAACUCCAUCUAAAGCUAAAUAUUGGCGAGAGACCGAUAGCGAACAAGUACCGUGAGGGAAAGAUGAAAAGCACUUUGGAAAGAGAGUGAAACAGUACGUGAAAUUGUUGAAAGGGAAACGCUUGAAGUCAGUCGCGUCGUCCGAGACUCAGCCUCGCCUCGGCUUGGUGUACUUCUCGGCCGACGGGUCAGCAUCAAUUUUGCCCCUUGGAUAAUGGCGAGGGAAAUGUGACACCUUUGCGGGUGUGUUAUAGUCUCUAGUCGCAUGCAAGGGUCGGGAUUGAGGAACUCAGCACGCGCCUUCGGGCGUCGGGGUUCGYCCACGAUACGUGCKUAGGAUGUUGKSGUAAUGGCUUUAAAUGACCCGUCUUGAAACACGGACCAAGGAGUCUAACAUGCCCGCGAGUGUUCGGGUGGAAAAYCCGUGCGCGCAAUGAAAGUGAAAGUUGGRACCUCUGUCGUGGAGGGCACCAACGCCCGGACCAGACCUUCUGUGACGGAUCUGCGRUAKAGCGUGUAUGUUAGGACCCGAAAGAUGGUGAACUAUGCCUGAAUAGGGUGAAGCCAGAGGAAACUCUGGUGGAGGCUCGUAGCGAUUCUGACGUGCAAAUCGAUCGUCAAAUUUGGGUAUAGGGGCGAAAGACUAAUCGAAC
rnacentral:rRNA from 1 species